UACGAAGGGUGCAAGCGUUGUUCGGAAUUACUGGGCGUAAAGCGCACGUAGGCGGGCGUGUAAGUCAGAUGUGAAAGCCCCGGGCUUAACCCGGGAAUUGCAUUUGAAACUGCAUGUCUUGAAUGCUUGAGAGGAUGACGGAAUUCCUGGUGUAGAAGUGAAAUUCGUAGAUAUCAGGAGGAACACCGGAGGCGAAGGCGGUUGUCUGGCGAUGCAUUGACGCUGAGGUGCGAAAGCGUGGGGAGCAAAC
rnacentral:rRNA from 1 species